AGUCACUUAUUUGUCUCAAAGUUCUCGAAAUUCCCUCUUAGAAGGAGAAAGUUAGAGAACUGGAGGCUGCGUAUACCCUGAUUGCGCAGAAGGGAAGCAGCCUCGCAUUCCCCGGGGCAGGCCCCCGCCCGCGCGUCCCGCCAGUAGGGGAAUUUAGCGGAGGGAUACGGUUGUCUGGUGAAAGGCUAUCCAAGGAUAAGGGGCUUCACUUUUCCCAAGUAGGGGAAAGAGAAGGGGUCUACAGGGCUAGGGGUGGAGGGAGCGGAUGCAGUGAGCAGCCUCCGCAGAGAAAUUGACAAUUUAACCAGGGACCUGUGGCAGAGACAAGGCGGAGACACUCCCUUGCCCAGGAAAGCCGCCGGAGUCCGGCUUGUACCUGGGGAAGAAUCCUUAAGACGGUCUGGCCCAACACUCCUUUGCUCACAGAGAAAGGGGAGAAGACUCCCGAGGGUGAAAAUGGUACAUUCGGAGCUGGAACUCAGCUCACUGACCCCAAGCAGUGUUCCCUUCUUUUCGCCAGGUUUGCAUCCAAGAGAGGGGAGGACAGGGGCAAAAGGAUGCAGGGAGGCUGCUGAUUUCCACUGAAGAGCUAAUUUCCUGUGAGACAUUAACAGUGAUUUAAGAAAAAGAUUCCUGUAACUGUAAUGUCUUACAAUAACAGAAUGCAGGAGAGCACAUAUCAAUGAAGAAAAGACAAAAUGUACUUAUCCAUGAAGCUGAGGUUAAGAAACCAGUGUCUUCAAGAGCCAGGGACAGCACUGGGUCUGUGCAGAGUUGAGAGAUGGUGAUGACAUGUGACAGAGCUCCUUGCUGCUCAAAUUUUAUGCCAGAUAAAAUAUUCACCUUCUCGGACUCCCUGGCACCAGGCAUGGCCAUGUAAUCCUACAGCACAGCUGAUGAAAGAGAAGCCAUCUUGCUGCUAUUUGAGAAGCAAGAAGAUAAAAGCUUUCCUAUAAAGAUGAUGGAGCAAAAAGAUAGAAGGGGCCUAGACUCCCUACCUUCACACUUCCUGCUAUAAAAGCAUUGCUAUUAUAAGGUUAAUCUGCAGAAACAGACUUCUAUGUCAUAUGCUUAAAUGCAUCAAAAUUCAUACAAUAUCCAUUAAAUUGGUAAAAGUAUCCAUUUUAAAGGAUUAAUCUGAGGGACCCACAGACACUUAACACAAUCAAAUCUCAGAAAAAAAAUCAGUUAUUUCAUUGUGAUUUUGAGGCUGAUCUUUUAUGAUCUUUUAGUUAUCAAACUGUUAAAUACAUUUUAACUUUCAAAUUUUAUGAAUAAAGGAGAUGAAUCCUGUUAUUUUCUCAGUG